AGAGUUUGAUCCUGGCUCAGGAUGAACGCUAGCGAUAGGCUUAACACAUGCAAGUCGAGGGGCAGCAUUGGAGUAGUUUACUACAACAGAUGGCGACCGGCGGAUGGGUGAGUAACGCGUAUGCAACCUACCCUCUACAGGGGGAUAGCCCGAAGAAAUUCGGAUUAACACCGCAUAACAAUUAGAGGCCGCAUGGUUUUUAAUUUAAAAAUUUAUUGGUAGAGGAUGGGCAUGCGUUCCAUUAGUUAGUUGGUAAGGUAACGGCUUACCAAGACGUCGAUGGAUAGGGGAACUGAGAGGUUUAUCCCCCACACUGGAACUGAGAUACGGUCCAGACUCCUACGGGAGGCAGCAGUGAGGAAUAUUGGUCAAUGGGCGAGAGCCUGAACCAGCCAAGUCGCGUGAAGGAAGAAGGUUCUAUGGAUUGUAAACUUCUUUUAUAAGAGAGUAAAGUUGGGUACGUGUACCCAUUUGCAAGUAUCUUAUGAAUAAGCAUCGGCUAACUCCGUGCCAGCAGCCGCGGUAAUACGGAGGAUGCGAGCGUUAUCCGGAUUUAUUGGGUUUAAAGGGUGCGUAGGCGGAAGAUUAAGUCAGCGGUGAAAGUUUGAGGCUCAACCUUAAAAUUGCCGUUGAAACUGGUUUUCUUGAGUACAGAUGAAGUGGGCGGAAUUUGUGGUGUAGCGGUGAAAUGCAUAGAUAUCACAAGGAACUCCGAUUGCGAAGGCAGCUCACUAAGUUGUAACUGACGCUGAGGCACGAAAGCGUGGGUAUCGAACAGGAUUAGAUACCCUGGUAGUCCACGCUGUAAACUAUGAUUACUAGUUGUUUGCGAUAUACCGUAAGUGACUAAGCGAAAGCGAUAAGUAAUCCACCUGGGGAGUACGUUGGCAACAAUGAAACUCAAAGGAAUUGACGGGGGCCCGCACAAGCGGAGGAACAUGUG
rnacentral:rRNA from 1 species